rnacentral:rRNA from 1 species
GUUAAGCGACUAAGCGUACACGGUGGAUGCCCUGGCAGUCAGAGGCGAUGAAGGACGUGCUAAUCUGCGAUAAGCGUCGGUGAGGUGAUAUGAACCGUUAUAACCGGCGAUUUCCGAAUGGGGAAACCCAGUGUGUUUCGACACACUAUCAUUAACUGAAUCCAUAGGUUAAUGAGGCGAACCGGGGGAACUGAAACAUCUAAGUACCCCGAGGAAAAGAAAUCAACCGAGAUUCCCCCAGUAGCGGCGAGCGAACGGGGAGGAGCCCAGAGCCUGAAUCAGUGUGUGUGUUAGUGGAAGCGUCUGGAAAGGCGUGCGAUACAGGGUGACAGCCCCGUACACAAAAAUGCACAUAUUGUGAGCUCGAUGAGUAGGGCGGGACACGUGGUAUCCUGUCUGAAUAUGGGGGGACCAUCCUCCAAGGCUAAAUACUCCUGACUGACCGAUAGUGAACCAGUACCGUGAGGGAAAGGCGAAAAGAACCCCGGCGAGGGGAGUGAAAAAGAACCUGAAACCGUGUACGUACAAGCAGUGGGAGCCUCUUAAUGGGGUGACUGCGUACCUUUUGUAUAAUGGGUCAGCGACUUAUAUUCUGUAGCAAGGUUAACCGAAUAGGGGAGCCGAAGGGAAACCGAGUCUUAACUGGGCGUUAAGUUGCAGGGUAUAGACCCGAAACCCGGUGAUCUAGCCAUGGGCAGGUUGAAGGUUGGGUAACACUAACUGGAGGACCGAACCGACUAAUGUUGAAAAAUUAGCGGAUGACUUGUGGCUGGGGGUGAAAGGCCAAUCAAACCGGGAGAUAGCUGGUUCUCCCCGAAAGCUAUUUAGGUAGCGCCUCGUGAAUUCAUCUCCGGGGGUAGAGCACUGUUUCGGCAAGGGGGUCAUCCCGACUUACCAACCCGAUGCAAACUGCGAAUACCGGAGAAUGUUAUCACGGGAGACACACGGCGGGUGCUAACGUCCGUCGUGAAGAGGGAAACAACCCAGACCGCCAGCUAAGGUCCCAAAGUCAUGGUUAAGUGGGAAACGAUGUGGGAAGGCCCAGACAGCCAGGAUGUUGGCUUAGAAGCAGCCAUCAUUUAAAGAAAGCGUAAUAGCUCACUGGUCGAGUCGGCCUGCGCGGAAGAUGUAACGGGGCUAAACCAUGCACCGAAGCUGCGGCAGCGACACUAUGUGUUGUUGGGUAGGGGAGCGUUCUGUAAGCCUGUGAAGGUGGCCUGUGAGGGUUGCUGGAGGUAUCAGAAGUGCGAAUGCUGACAUAAGUAACGAUAAAGCGGGUGAAAAGCCCGCUCGCCGGAAGACCAAGGGUUCCUGUCCAACGUUAAUCGGGGCAGGGUGAGUCGACCCCUAAGGCGAGGCCGAAAGGCGUAGUCGAUGGGAAACAGGUUAAUAUUCCUGUACUUGGUGUUACUGCGAAGGGGGGACGGAGAAGGCUAUGUUGGCCGGGCGACGGUUGUCCCGGUUUAAGCGUGUAGGCUGGUUUUCCAGGCAAAUCCGGAAAACCAAGGCUGAGGCGUGAUGACGAGGCACUACGGUGCUGAAGCGACAAAUGCCCUGCUUCCAGGAAAAGCCUCUAAGCAUCAGGUAACAUCAAAUCGUACCCCAAACCGACACAGGUGGUCAGGUAGAGAAUACCAAGGCGCUUGAGAGAACUCGGGUGAAGGAACUAGGCAAAAUGGUGCCGUAACUUCGGGAGAAGGCACGCUGAUAUGUAGGUGAAGCGACUUGCUCGUGGAGCUGAAAUCAGUCGAAGAUACCAGCUGGCUGCAACUGUUUAUUAAAAACACAGCACUGUGCAAACACGAAAGUGGACGUAUACGGUGUGACGCCUGCCCGGUGCCGGAAGGUUAAUUGAUGGGGUUAGCGGCAACGCGAAGCUCUUGAUCGAAGCCCCGGUAAACGGCGGCCGUAACUAUAACGGUCCUAAGGUAGCGAAAUUCCUUGUCGGGUAAGUUCCGACCUGCACGAAUGGCGUAAUGAUGGCCAGGCUGUCUCCACCCGAGACUCAGUGAAAUUGAACUCGCUGUGAAGAUGCAGUGUACCCGCGGCAAGACGGAAAGACCCCGUGAACCUUUACUAUAGCUUGACACUGAACAUUGAGCCUUGAUGUGUAGGAUAGGUGGGAGGCUUUGAAGUGUGGACGCCAGUCUGCAUGGAGCCGACCUUGAAAUACCACCCUUUAAUGUUUGAUGUUCUAACGUUGGCCCGUAAUCCGGGUUGCGGACAGUGUCUGGUGGGUAGUUUGACUGGGGCGGUCUCCUCCUAAAGAGUAACGGAGGAGCACGAAGGUUGGCUAAUCCUGGUCGGACAUCAGGAGGUUAGUGCAAUGGCAUAAGCCAGCUUGACUGCGAGCGUGACGGCGCGAGCAGGUGCGAAAGCAGGUCAUAGUGAUCCGGUGGUUCUGAAUGGAAGGGCCAUCGCUCAACGGAUAAAAGGUACUCCGGGGAUAACAGGCUGAUACCGCCCAAGAGUUCAUAUCGACGGCGGUGUUUGGCACCUCGAUGUCGGCUCAUCACAUCCUGGGGCUGAAGUAGGUCCCAAGGGUAUGGCUGUUCGCCAUUUAAAGUGGUACGCGAGCUGGGUUUAGAACGUCGUGAGACAGUUCGGUCCCUAUCUGCCGUGGGCGCUGGAGAACUGAGGGGGGCUGCUCCUAGUACGAGAGGACCGGAGUGGACGCAUCACUGGUGUUCGGGUUGUCAUGCCAAUGGCACUGCCCGGUAGCUAAAUGCGGAAGAGAUAAGUGCUGAAAGCAUCUAAGCACGAAACUUGCCCCGAGAUGAGUUCUCCCUGACUCCUUGAGAGUCCUGAAGGAACGUUGAAGACGACGACGUUGAUAGGCCGGGUGUGUAAGCGCAGCGAUGCGUUGAGCUAACCGGUACUAAUGAACCGUGAGGCUUAACCUU